GGCCUUCUAUCCCGGAGUUCCGUGGCUGGAGCCUCAGAAUGUGGAUUGGAGAGAGGUCCAGAUGGCCGGUGACUUUAGUGAAAUCCUCUCCAGUCAAAAACACCAGGUUAUACAAUGAGUUGACGACAAAGUUGGGAAAGCAUUGAAGAAAUUUGUAGAGAAGGAAGCAAAGGUGAGAGAGAAAGAUGAUUGCAAUGGAAAGGAAGGUGUCUGGCAAAGGAGGGACCAAUUCUUCAUAUUAUUUGCACUGAACUGCUGCUUGUGACAUAAUUAAGACCCAGGCAGUGGCCUCAUUAUUCCCAACCAGACUGAAGCAAUGUUUGACUGCCUCUUCAGAACAUGCCUGUAAGCAAGAAAGGGACAGAUUACAUCAUCCGGUUGGCGUUAAACAACAGAGCAGGCAGGAUUUGAAGCCAAUAUUCAAAAGAUGAAGUUUGGAUGAAGAGCAACACAAGAGGUCUUUCAGGCUCCCAAACCAGUUUGCAUAUUGAGCUUCCCAGAACUAUUUUCAACCACCUGGAGCAGCUGAGCAUGAAGAACACCAUUCUCGAUGUCUUUAGCUACAAAUUGGUAAGCAUAUGGGCUCCAGAGGCCUGGGGAGGAGGGGCCCACCCCUCAAAUCCAGUCUGUUUAUGACUGAGGAAGUUCUGAUCAAGUUGACGGUGUUAAAGACUCCAACACAUCAACUCCAUUGAAGAGCGGGACAAGCUAUUGUAAAUAGGAACCAUCAAAGCAUUAGCCAUUUCGGUGAAAUGAAGCAAAUCAAUUGUUUCUCAGAAAGGUGCCUUUCAGAUCUCCUUUCGCAGCUUCUGAGUUUCUGUAUCAAGUUCACAUGAAAACAACUUGUGCUAAUGGGAUUUUGGCUCAGGAUCUUGGAAGGUCAGUGGCUUGG
rnacentral:lncRNA from 1 species